rnacentral:rRNA from 1 species
GACAGAGGUGCCAAGCGUUAGGCGGAAUCACUGGGCUUAAAGCGUGUGUAGGCGGGUGCCUAAGUACCUUGUGAAAUCCCACGGCUCAACCGUGGAACUGCUGGGUAUACUGGUUGUCUUGAGCCAGCUAGGGGCGAGCGGAACAGACGGUGGAGCGGUGAAAUGCGUAGAUAUCGUCUGGAACGCCGAAGGUGAAAACAGCUCGCUGGGGCUGCGCUGACGCUGAGACACGAAAGCCAGGGGAGCGAACGGG